GGCCGAAGAGAUGUGUGCAUAAAUCUAGAUUUAAACAGAGAGAGUGUGUCUGAACCCCGCAUGUUAUCAAGAAUGCUAUUCCAGAGUUUUAUAGCCAAAUGUGAAA